AAUCCGAAGGGGGGAGGAAAAAAGUGGAGGCAGAAUUCAGUUUCUGAAGCAACUGUCUUUUAGAAGACACCUGAAGGCAACUGACCCUGUGAUACACCACGUGAACGCCAAAAGGAUCAUUUAAUUGCGAAACAAACAGGGUAGUAGAUCUCCAUUCAGCGGAAAGCCUCAUCAAUAAAUGAAGGUAAAAGGAAGUUUUGCUGCUUUUAUCCAAAUCCUAAGGAACUGAGAAACCACCUGAUGUUCCACCAGAUGCCUUCAGCUCUUUACCAGCUCUUCUCAGCUCGUUUGGAUCUUCAGUUCAGAUUUGACAUAUGGAACAAAAAUAUAUUGAGGUACAGAAGUGCCUAUUGGUGUGACAUUUGGAUGACACAAAAGAGAGAAACCAACUUUUUUUUUUUUUCUUUCUUUUUUUCUUUUUUCUUUUCUUUUUUUUUCCUCCCCCCCUUUAUUUUUUCUUUCUUCUUUUUUUUUCUGUUUAUUUUUUCUUUUUCCUUUUUUCUUUUUUUUUUCCAUUUUCCAUUUUAUUUUUUCUUUUUCUUUCUUCUUUUUUUUUCCUCUUUUCUAUUUUCUUUUUUCUCUUUUUCUUUUUUCUUCCUUUUUCCUUUUUUUUCUUUUUCUUUCUUCUUUUUUCUAUUUUCUCUUUUCUCUUUUAUUUUUUUCUUUUUUCUUUUUUCUUCUUCUUUCUUCUUUUUCCUUUUUUCUCCUUUCUUUUCUCUUUUUUCUCUUUUCUAUUCUCUUUUAGUCUUUCCUCUUUCUUUUUUCUUGUGCCUUUUUUCUUUUUCCUUUUUCAUUUUUCCUUUUCCUCUUUACUUUUUUCUUUUUUAUUUAUUCUUUUUUCUUUUUUUCUCUUUUCUUUUUUCUUCUCUUUUUUCUCUUUUCUUUGCUCUUUCUCUUUUUUUUUUUCUCUCCUUUUUUUUUUUUUUAACAAAGUAUGAAUUAGGAUUUCGUAGCUGCAACAAAAUGCAGAGCACAAG